GCCCUUACCACAAUCAUUACACGUGUCUGCAUACCCGCAGAGGAUAACACUCCACACGCAUAAUCCUCAACGCAGACGAUUAUACCGCAGUGCAGGCAUUUUUCAAUCUAUUGAGGAAAACCCAUGUUGUUUCUGGGAUUGAUAGCCAUUGCCCUUUGCAUCAGUGUGUUCCAAGGGUUACACUUUAUGGGUAACCCCAACAUAUUUAAAUGAAGAAAUUUAAGGGUUGAAGCUGGAUGGCUUUUUAACACAGGAGGUGGACGCAAGCUCUGAACGUGGCGAGAGUUCGAAAUGAAGAUAUAAUGAUUUUCUUUUUUCAGCUAGAUUUGGCCACUCGAGUUUAGGUUUACUGGCAGUCUUUUGGUUUAGAUGUUUAUAAAACAGUGAAGCAUUUUGUUGUGUCCCCUAGUUUUUGGUGUUUUGUAGUGCUCACAAGCUUUUCUUGGGUUGAUGUAUGGAAUUUGCAUUCUGCUUUGAAUGUGGAACAGUGUGACAGUGCACCACAACUGAGAACCCAGCUUACAGAGCAUGCUGAAUGAGCUCGCUUCUUGGAAGGUUGAAGCUUAGGACGUCAUUAGGCAGCAUGAAGCGAAGAGGGGAUCGUGUUCAAAGAGUGAAGCUCGAGAUAAAGCUACAAGUAUCAUACAACUACGGUGAGUCCCACAUUUUUCUACGCUACAUCUAAUUGGCCUCAAUCCAAAAAAUUAUAGUAGAAAAGGUGUUAAUGAAUCUAAUUUAACAUUUUCCUUCAGGCUUCUCCUCCCUUUUGUUCCCCUUUUUUGUGGGAUUUCUUAUGUUGCAGUUUACUGGCUCAACUAGAAUAUGUUUAGACUGCUUCUGCUUCUUUACUUGCAGUGCAGAUGUCCAGAAUGCAAUUGAGAACGAGAAUUAUGCAGUGGCAGCUGGAUUACGACAUCAAGUUUCAAAACUGGGAAGCAGAGUCUUUUCCUGCAUCUGCUAGAGCUCUGGCAUAUGAAAAUGCACAGUAUGCAUUUUGUUUAGGGCAGAAAGUGAGGCACAAAAUUUUUGGUAUGUAAACUUGGCUUCCACACCAUCAUUUAAACCUUUCAUCUGUUUUCAGUUCCUUUAUGAGGUUCAGUUGCAUUGAAUACGCAGAAAAAGAAUCUGUAGAGAUGCGUUUAUGCAAUGGGAGCACAUCCUUAGAACUGAAUGUUAUAAUUCUGGACUCGGUAAAUGAAUUCUACAGCCGCAGCCGUAUAGAGUCUCUUACGUGAGAAGAAUCAAAGUGCAAAUAUAAAAGAUUAGGAGUUGCUUAUCCUGUUGCGAUGCGUCAACAAUUCGUACUUCACUCUUUUUUAUGUUUCCAUGAUUCUAUUGAGUUUGGAUCUUGGCCUAAUAGCAAACUUCCAUAGCUGCAUGCUAGCUUUUCUUUCCCUGAUGUCUCAGUAGUUCCUGAGGAAAAUUUGGUUGCUCCUGAGAAACCGGAUAUGCAUGGAAAGGUUUGAUCAUCCCUGUACAUCUUUUCUUUUCUACGGGAUGGAGACACCAGGAGAUUUUAUCCUAAUCAAGCAGCUGCGUGAAAAGUACAAUAGGCCUCGUCAGUCAUGAAGUGGCGCCGGUUGAUCAAUAUUGAGUAUCUAUGAUUUUGUAUUUUAAAAAUAUAUUUGAAAAAAAAUUUAAAAAAUUAUUUAUUAUUUAUUUUAAUUAAUUUUUUUAUAUUUUGAGAUUGUUUUAAGGUAUUUAUUUUAAAAAAUAUUAUUUUAAUAUAUUUUUAAAAACUAUUACUAUUUUAAUACCAAAACGACGCCUUAAAUGACGAUAAUGGUGGCGGCGUGCUUAAGCAGGCGAGUGCUGCCUUCUGGUCCACGUGAUUUUGAGAAUGGAGGCAUGGAGCUGAAAAGCUUGUGGAAUUUUUCAAUCUAUCUCAGUCAUGUAUGAUUUGAUGGCGCUAUCUUCACUUGUUCUGCUGGAAAUUUCAGAUGUGAUUUGAUUUAGAUCAUGUGUUAGCAAUAUGGCAUAAUAACUUGUAUGGAAAUUUCAGAUGUGAUGUGAUUUGAUUUAGAUCAUGUGUUCUUCGUAGACAUUAGAGAGUAGAAACAUGUUGUUCUUGUGUUUUUAUUCGUUCACAACCAAAGCUUAGUCCUUGUAGUUUAACUCAACUAGUUAACUAAUCCUUGUAGUUUAACAAACUAUGUUUUUUAUUUUUUAAUAUGCUUGCAA